rnacentral:lncRNA from 1 species
CUCACUUCCUCUAUCAAUAAUCUGCUUCGUUGAAAGAUCCUGAAAAACACAGUGAUCAAGAAAGAAUGAGACACAACAAUUCAAUGCACGAGUGAGUUUACUCACGGAAAGCAAAUUAAAUGCGAACUUAGGGAGACAUAACACAGAGGAUACAGAAAGAGAAAGGGUUAAGUUGACGUGACCAGAACCCAUGACAGACGAUUUAGUGCCAUCAGCAAGAGUAACAUAAGAAGGCUAUGUAUGAGACUCAAGAUUGGACAAAAAGGUAGAAUUACCUGACAUAUGAUCGAUAGCACCAGAAUCAAUAACCCAUUUGGAGGAUGAAGACACAAGACAUGCAGUAGAGUUACCUGACUCGGCAAUUGCAGUGAUAGAGGAGGAAUUAGAAGAUUUUAUAGAUGCAUGGUAUUGGAUGAAUUGUGCAUACUCAUCUGCAGAUAUCAAAAUUCCCUGAUCGGAAGAUCCAUUCAAUUUGUGUUCCGUGAUUUUAGUCAUCAUAGGAAUCACAUCAGUUACAGUGGUAGUUUUAACUUCAGCCAUAAGGACAACCAACCCAAAAACGAUAGCAACAAAAGAAACACAAAAUCAGAAAACAGUACCCGGCAUGAACAGUACCACGUGAACAGUACCGAUGAACAGUACCCGUGAAUAGUGCCG